ensembl:lncRNA
UUCUGGUUCUGUGGGAAAGCGAAAAACGGCGUAACGGUACUGCGGUGAAAUGCGUGACAUUUGAAGGCUUAGUUAGUCGUUGGAAAGCCGUCGGAGCCAGAAGAUCACAGUCUACGUCACUGCCGCCGUCACUGAGCAGAAAAACUACAGGUGUUUACUUACCUGUCCUUGGACAACAUACUAAAACCCCUGCAUCAUCAUGUGUGACUAAUAAAUAAAAAAAGACUAUAUGAAUGUUUGUUUGAGACCAUUUCUGAUUAAUUCAAUUCAUUCAGUUUUAUUUAUAUAGCACCACAUCACAACAACAGUUACCUCAAGGUGCUUUUUAUUGUAAGGUAGACCCCUACAGUAAUAAUUCAG